UACGUAGGCAGCAAGCGUUGUUCGGAAUUACUGGGCGUAAAGAGUGUGUAGGCGGUGCUCUAAGUUUGGUGUGAAAUCUCCCGGCUUAACUGGGAGGGUGCAUCGAAAACUGGAGUGCUGGAGGAUGGGAGAGGCAAGCGGAAUUCCUGGUGUAGCGGUGAAAUGCGUAGAUAUCAGGAGGAACACCCGUGGUGUAGACAGCUUGCUGGACCAUUUCUGACGCUGAGACACGAAAGCGUGGGUAGCAAACAGG
rnacentral:rRNA from 1 species